GACCUGAUGAUGUAGUGGUAGCAUGCCUGCUUAUUUUAAAAGUCAAAUUGGUUGCCUCAGCAGGAGCCCCCGGUUCGAACCCGGGCCAGGUCA